AUACUCAUAGAUGAGGAGCCAUCAGAAGAGUCCAGCUAACACAGCUUAGGCCUAUUUCAUCAUCCCACCAAACAAGAAGAUAGCCUGCUUCUCGCUUGACAGAUCAAGGAAGGAGGAGGUGGAGGAGAUGACAGAACAAGAUCUACUGAAAAGACAUCCAUGACCUGGUGGCAGGUGCCCAAGCCAUGUGCUCCCAAUACCCACAACUGGAUUCUUUUUGCUGAAGAGAGAAAAGACAUCCAUGACCUGGUGGCAGGUGCCCAAGCCAUGUGCUCCCAAUACCCACAACUAGAUUCUUUUUGCUGAAGAGACCUAUGAUGAACACAACAAAAUCAUAGGAAUCCAGGACUCCCCACUUGAAGGAUACUAAACUAGGAUGGAAAUUACCUCUACACCCCGAUUGCAUCUCCACUAUCCCCGGCCCAUUCCUCUGCUUUCCUUUUUGCAACACAGAGGUGAUAGCCUACCAUGGAAGGGAAGCCAUGACAGAAUUGACAUUGCAGUGGGGAGUCCAGGCUGCUGGAACCUGAGAAUCGAAAUCCCACAAGCCUAUGUUCAGCUACCUGCUUCUGCCACCAAUUUCUCAUCUUCAAAAGGCUCCAUAAACGCCCAAAACAGUUCAAAGCAACUAAGGAUCAACUGAUGAAACAUUUGUCCUUAUGGUGGAUAUCCCAUGACAAAAAAAUUUAUAUUAACAAGACAACAGUUUUACAAGUUGGUGGUUGUGACACUGUUGGGUUUUGACUUUAAAGUAGGGUGUUACUAUAGCCCAGACUGGUCUUGAAUACACAGUGUAGCCCAGCAUAGGCUGACCUGGAAGUCAUGGAAGUCCUCCUGCCACCUCUUUUCAAUUGUUGGAACUGUAUGUGUAAAUGUUGAAAUUAUAAGCACUAUGCUUGGCUUAAGACAACCUUCAUUAUCUCACAUUCCCUUCCCUGAUUCUGUCAUAACUUGUAUUGCCACACUCCACCCCAAAAGACCCAUCUCCUUACCUGUUCCCAGAUCUAAAUGCUGGACGAGCAGCAAUGAUAUGGAUCAGUUCACACCAGACACACUAGAUGAUUAUAUUCUCCUAAUUGUUGGCACUAUCUUUCCCAAGUACCUAAUUAAAUAUGGUUUUCCUCUUGUC
rnacentral:lncRNA from 1 species